rnacentral:rRNA from 1 species
AUUUUUUAUAAAAUACUAUUUAUAAUGGCGGCAUUUCAUUUUAUUAAAGGAACCUGUUUUUUAAUCGAUAAUCCACGUUAAUUUUCACUUAAAUUAAAAAUUUAUAUACCGCCAUCUAAAACUAAUUUAAUAAUAAUAUUUAAAAAAAAAAAUAAAAAGUUAGGUCAAGGUGUAAUCUAUAUUUAAGUAAGUAAUGGGUUACUUUUAAAAAAAUUAAAGGAUUAUUGUAUAAUAAUACUUUUCGAAAAAGGAUUUAAAAGUAUUAAUAUAAUAAUAUUUCAUUACGAUUAAAAUAAUAAAUGUGUACACAUCGCCCGUCGCUCUUA